rnacentral:rRNA from 1 species
UACGGAGGAUGCAAGCGUUAUCCGGAAUGAUUGGGCGUAAAGCGUCCGCAGGUGGCUGUGUAAGUCUGCUGUUAAAGAGUGAGGCUCAACCUCAUAAAAGCAGUGGAAACUACACGGCUAGAGUGCGUUCGGGGCAGAGGGAAUUCCUGGUGUAGCGGUGAAAUGCGCAGAUAUCAGGAAGAACACCCGUGGCGAAGGCGGUUCUCUGGGACGGUACUGACGCUGGAGACGCGAAAGCGUGGGGAGCGAACAGG